rnacentral:rRNA from 1 species
GCAUAUCAAUAAGCGGAGGAAAAGAAAAUAACAAUGAUUCCCCUAGUAACUGCGAGUGAAGAGGGACAAGCUCAAAUUUUAAAUCCGUCGGGUUUCACCUGACCGAGUUGUAAUUUGAAGAGGCGUUUUCCGCGUUUUUGAUCAGUCCAAGUCCUUUGGGAUAGGGCAUCAUGGAGGGUGAGAAUCCCGUUCGGCUGAUCAGAUUCGCUCUACGAUACGUCAUCUAAGAGUCAAGUUGUUUGGGAAUGCAGCUUAAAAUGGGAGGUAAAUUUCUCCUAAGGCUAAAUAACGGCGAGAGACCGAUAGCGAACAAGUACCGUGAGGGAAAGAUGAAAAGAACUUUGAAAAGAGAGUUAAACAGUACGUGAAAUUGUUGAAAGGGAAACGAUUGAAGCCAGUCGUACCGGUGGGUAAUCAGCCUUUCGGCGUGAUUAUGUGGAGCGUGAGGAGUUAAACGCCCUCAUGGCCUGCAUAUUCGUGUUCUUUGGGUGUACUUACCCGCAUGGUAGGUUAACAUCAAUUUCGAACGUCAUAAAAUGGUUGGAGGAAUGUAGCUUCGAUCUCGUAUUGAAGUGUUAUAGACUCCGGCAGAUGUGAUGAUCGGGAUUGAGGAUUGCAACGGAUACCCUUCGGGGCUACCCGUCUGAUCUCUGAAAGUUGCUCUGGUGCCGAAAGCUCGCUUACGGUCAUCAAAGUUGACGUUCAACAGGUUAGAACGGGAUAAAUUCGUUAAGGAUGUUGACGUAAUGGCUUUAAACGAC